GAUGAACGCUGGCGGCGUGCCUAAUACAUGCGAGUCGAGCGAACAGAUGAGGAGCUUGCUCCUCUGACGUUAGCGGCGGACGGGUGAGUAACACGUGGAUAACCUACCUAUAAGACUGGGAUAACUUCGGGAAGCCGGAGCUAAUACCGGAUAAUAUAUUGAACCGCAUGGUUCAAUAGUGAAAGACGGUUUUGCUGUCACUUAUAGAUGGAUCCGCGCCGCAUUAGCUAGUUGGUAAGGUAACGGCUUACCAAGGCAACGAUGCGUAGCCGACCUGAGAGGGUGAUCGGCCACACUGGAACUGAGACACGGUCCAGACUCCUACGGGAGGCAGCAGUAGGGAAUCUUCCGCAAUGGGCGAAAGCCUGACGGAGCAACGCCGCGUGAGUGAUGAAGGUCUUCGGAUCGUAAAACUCUGUUAUUAGGGAAGAACAAAUGUGUAAGUAACUAUGCACGUCUUGACGGUACCUAAUCAGAAAGCCACGGCUAACUACGUG
rnacentral:rRNA from 1 species